ACGAGCCGGGCGCGAGAGAUGAAGGAAGAGUUCGCUUCGGCUUGGGGAGAAGGAGGAGGCGACUAGGAGGGUUUGGGCGCGGGGCUUAGACGACGGCGGCGACGCAGGCAGAGCCAAAACGGGGAGGCCACUUCUACGACAGUUCCUAGAGGGCGGAGCCGCAGGUGCGGGACUCGGCCCGCUCCGAUCCAGUUUUCAGUCAUUGAAGUUCCUUAGUCCUUCUUGGGUAGUCUCGGACAUACUUGAUACACCCAUUAGCAAGAGAUACAAGGCGGUGCCUUCGAUUUCAGUUACUGUCCUCACUUGUCGGCUUUCGAUUCUAUAGACACUGUAAACAACUAUUCCUACCGCUACUUUGCCAAUAGUUACAAGGCUAACCCUACAGUUACGACCUUCGACGAGUACUCUUACUGUAUCUUGAACUUCCUCGUACACUCCCGAGAGAACGUACAAGAUGGACAGUACACUAACAUUGCCUGCAUCUGAUGAUAUUGUUUAACCUUCUAGGACUUCUACUCCUUUUGCUAUACGACCUGGAACGAAAACCGGAAUGUCUUUGUAGAGCGGAACCAACGGUUCAUUAACGUUCGGGACUUGAACUACCGUAUUCUAAUCGUGACGGUCGUCGAUGGUCUUUAAAACGACAACUACCCGUACAGGGUUUUGGUGUGACUGAUUCGUGACCCAUACAACGUAUGGACGAGUCAAAACGUCUUAUACUCUACAUCAAUGAAAAUAAAAAGUAGAACAACAUAGACAUAGGAGUUGUAAAUUUAAGACAUCAGGAACCGUUCUAUCGCUAAUUACAGUUGAACGAAGCAGUUUAUUGUGAACAUUUUAGGUAACCUUUUACGUAACAGUAACGUUACGAUCGUUGGAACGUGAACGUUUUAGAUGGUAGUCAAACAGGUAGUGAGGUACAAAUAAAAAGCGAUAUAUAAUACGAUAUGAGAUACAAAAAUUCCGCUGCGAAGCGAAAUUCCGCGACCCCCCCGCGGAGCUGCGGAUCCGCGGAUUUCGCCUGUAUAAACGUUUCGCGACCCCCCCGCGGAGCUGCGGAUCCGCAGCGGAUUCGCAGCGGAAUGCCUGCGGAAUUUUUGUAUCCGAUAUGACAUAUAGAAGGAACAUUCGAUUACGAACACACAUAGUUUCACCAUAGUCUAGUCGACAAUAUAAAUGGAUUGCAAAUCUGGAAUAAAAACAGCGUAAG
rnacentral:rRNA from 1 species